rnacentral:rRNA from 1 species
AUGGGAUCGGACGGCCGGGCGAGGCGUAUAAAUCCAUCCAGGUCACCCCUGCCCCCAAACCCCUCACCAACCACCCCCGGCCGCAGCAGCAGCAGAGAGCCAGCCGCCCUUCGCUCCCCCCAGAGGCCAGAGACGGACACGAUGGCGGCGCCCACCUCCUCCGCGGCAUCCACCCUCGCCCCCUUCUCCCACCCCAAAACCCUAGCCGCCGCCGCCGCCGCCGCAUCCUCCUCCGUCGCCUUCUCCCCGGCCGCAUCCCACCCCGCAUGCGCCCUAACCCGCCGCCGCGCGGUCGCCGCCAUGGUCGCGGCCCCGGCCAAGGUCGGCGCCGCCAUGCCGUCGCUCGACUUCGACACCGCCGUCUUCAACAAGGAGAAGGUCUCCCUCGCCGGCCACGAGGAGUACAUCGUGAGGGGCGGGCGGAACCUCUUCCCGCUGCUCCCGGAGGCGUUCAAGGGCGUCAAGCAGAUCGGCGUCAUCGGAUGGGGCUCCCAGGGUCCGGCGCAGGCCCAGAACCUGAGGGAUUCCCUGGUGGAAGCCAAGUCUGACAUCGUCGUCAAGAUUGGCCUCAGGAAAGGUUCCAAGUCUUUUGAGGAAGCACGUGGUGCUGGAUUCACCGAGGAGAACGGAACCUUGGGAGACAUAUGGGAGACGGUCUCUGGCAGUGAUCUUGUGCUGCUGUUGAUUUCAGAUUCUGCCCAGGCAGACAACUAUGAGAAGAUCUUCUCUCACAUGAAACCAAACAGCAUUCUUGGUUUAUCUCAUGGGUUUCUCCUUGGUCAUCUGCAAUCACAUGGCCUUGAUUUCCCCAAAAACAUCAGCGUCGUUGCUGUGUGUCCCAAGGGGAUGGGCCCGUCGGUUCGGAGACUGUAUGUUCAGGGCAAGGAAGUAAAUGGUGCUGGCAUCAACGCUAGCUUUGCUGUCCACCAGGAUGUUGAUGGAAGGGCCACUGAUGUUGCUCUUGGAUGGUCGGUUGCACUAGGAUCCCCAUUCACCUUUGCUACUACUCUAGAACAGGAGUACAAGAGUGAUAUCUUUGGGGAGCGAGGAAUUUUGCUGGGCGCUGUCCAUGGCAUUGUGGAGGCUCUCUUUAGGAGAUACACAGAGCAAGGAAUGGACGAGGAGCUGGCAUACAAAAGCACCGUGGAGGGCAUCACUGGAAUUAUCUCUAAGACCAUCUCAAAGAAGGGGAUGCUUGAGGUGUACAACUCUUUGAGUGAGGAAGGCAAAAAGGAGUUCAACAAGGCAUACAGUGCAUCAUUCUACCCUUGCAUAGACAUACUCUACGAAUGCUACGAAGAUGUUGCCUCUGGAAGUGAAAUCCGGAGUGUUGUGUUGGCUGGUCGGAGGUUUUAUGACAAGGAAGGCCUUCCUGCUUUCCCUAUGGGCAAAAUCGACCAAACUCGCAUGUGGAAGGUCGGCGAAAAGGUGCGCUCGACCCGGCCAGAUGGUGACCUUGGCCCGCUCCACCCCUUCACGGCUGGAGUUUAUGUUGCACUUAUGAUGGCCCAGAUCGAGGUGCUGAGGAAGAAGGGGCACUCCUACUCUGAGAUCAUCAACGAGAGCGUGAUCGAGUCGGUGGACUCGUUGAACCCCUUCAUGCACGCGCGCGGGGUGGCCUUCAUGGUGGACAACUGCUCGACGACGGCGCGUCUGGGGUCGAGGAAGUGGGCGCCCCGUUUCGACUACAUCCUGACCCAGCAGGCGUUCGUGACGGUGGACAAGGACGAGCCCAUCAACCAGGACCUCAUCAGCAACUUCAUGUCGGACCCCGUCCACGGCGCCAUCGAGGUCUGCGCCGAGCUGAGGCCCACCGUCGACAUCUCGGUGACGGCCGACGCCGACUUCGUGCGCCCUGAGCUCCGGCAGUCCUCCUAG